rnacentral:rRNA from 13 species
UCAAAAAUAAAAAUAAAAAAAAUAAAAUAAAAAAUAAAAAAUAAAAUCAAAAAGAGCAAUCCUC